rnacentral:rRNA from 1 species
GACGAACGCUGGCGGCGUGCCUAAUACAUGCAAGUAGAACGCUGAAGAGAGGAGCUUGCUCUUCUUGGAUGAGUUGCUAACGGGUGAGUAACGCGUAGGUAACCUGCCUUGUAGCGGGGGAUAACUAUUGGAAACGAUAGCUAAUACCGCAUAACAAUGGAUGACACAUGUCAUUUAUUUUAAAGGGGCAAUUGCUCCACUACAAGAUGGACCUGCGUUGUAUUAGCUAGUAGGUGAGGUAAUGGCUCACCUAGGCGACGAUACAUAGCCGACCUGAGAGGGUGAUCGGCCACGCUGGGACUGAGACACGGCCCAGACUCCUACGGGAGGCAGCAGUAGGGAAUCUUCGGCAAUGGGGGCAACCCUGACCGAGCAACGCCGCGUGAGUGAAGAAGGUUUUCGGAUCGUAAAGCUCUGUUGUAAGUCAAGAACGGGUGUGAGAGUGGAAAGUUCACACUGUGACGGUAGCUUACCAGAAAGGGACGGCUAACUACGUG